rnacentral:tRNA from 1 species
GGAGGAGCGGCCGAGGCUGACUAGUUACGGUGUUCGCUUUGUAAGCGAAUGGUCCUGGGUUCGAUUCCCAUCUACUCCC